rnacentral:lncRNA from 10 species
CGCUUCUAUGUCUUACUCAAGCUAUUCUGUAAUCUAGAAUAUGCCACCCACCCCCCAGCAUGUUGAAUACCUACUUCACCCUGAAGGUCUAGCUCAAAAUCCAUUUUUCCAUGAUGUGAUGCUUUUUCAGAUCCUUCAUUAAAUAAAUACCUUCCUCCUGCAUUUUCAAAUUUAUCUGCUUCUUCACACCGCCAGCUGUGCAAUCCUGGACAACAUAUUUAACCUCUCUGAGCAUCAGUUUAUUCUGAAAAGUAUAGAUAAUACUAGUACAUAUUUCAAGAGUUGUUGUGAGGAUUUGAUAAAUUAAUACAGCAGUCCCCUCUGAUCUGUGAGUGAUAUGUUCCAAAACCCCCAGUGGAUGCCUGAAACCUUGGAUAGUACUGAACCCUAUACAUAUUGUACUAUGUUGUUGUCAUCUGAUGAAGUGACUAACAGGCCGGUAGCAUGUGGAUAAGCUGGACAAAGGGAUGACUCACAUCCUGGACGCAAUGGAGCAGGAUAGCAUGAGAUUUCAUCAUGCUACUCAGAAGAGUUUGCAAUUUCAAACUUUUAACUGUUUAUUUCUGAAAUUUUUCAAUUAAUAUUUUUAGAAUACAGUUGACUACUGGUAAUUGAAAUCAUGGAAGGCAAAACCGCAGGACAUCUGGAGUAUCUCUUCUGCAAGGGAACGCAGAUAAAAGCAGCCUGCGGAACGGAUGUGAGUUCUAGGAGUGCAAGAUGGAUGACUUUUGGGUCACCUUUGUGUUUUCAGGCCCUAGCACAGCACAUGGCACAUAGAAGAAUACGUAUUUAUUGGAAGCAUUGAAAAAUCAGUCAAACUUAAGAAGCAAGACAACCUCAUUUGUAAUUUUUUUAGAGACAGAGUCUCAUUCUGUUACCCAGGCUGGAGUGCUGUGCAAUGAUCAUAGCUCAUUGUAGCGUUGACCUCCUGGGCUCAAGCCUCGGCCCCCAGAGUAGCUAGGACACAGGCCACCAUGCCCGGUUCAUUUUUAAAUUUUUUCUAGAGAUGGGGAUCUUGCCGUGUUGCCCAGUCUGGUCUGGCACUCCUGGCCUCACGCAAACCUCCCACCUCAGCUUUCUACGAAGCUAGGACUACAGGUGCAUGCCAUGCCUGGCUAAUUUUUAAUUUUCUUUUUUAAGAAAUGGGGAUCUUGCUAUGUUGCCCAGGCUGAUCUGGAGCUCCUGGACUCAAGCAAUCCUCCUGCCUCAGCCUCUCAAAGUGUUAGGAUUACAGGUGUGAGCCACUGCGCCUGGCCGUAGAGAACCUCCUUUUUGACAUAAAAGUAAUCAUGAACAUGUGAGCAAUAUUUCAUUUGGAUGCCAAUGUAGAGUUAAGCAUCCCUAACCCCACCCGGUCUCGUCUCACUCAACAUCUGCAGCUUGUCCACGCCUCUCCACAGCAGCAGAAAUGAGCCAAAGCAGGAAAGGCUGACUCAUUGUAGGUGCCAGAGGCUGGGAAAAUCUAUAGAGCCAGAGGGGAAGUAGACACGUUGGUUCUGGGGAAGGGUGGCCUGUCACUUUGGGGAAAGAAAUGGAAGGUCAGAGGGACUUCUGGAAGGCAGAGGGGAGCAGGUGGGAUGGUUUCCUAUGCCUGGACCAUCAGUUUCUGGGAGGGAAGAGGCAGGAAGUAGUGAUGGAUGCCCUGGACUGAAGACUGGGAGGGCCAGGAAGGAGCCUUAAAAUUUGCACUUCCAGAGAGAAAGUCGGCUGGUGGGAUUGACCUCGGACUGACAACUAACAGGCAGCAUGCGGUGGAGUUUCAGGAAGCCAGAGGUCUGGGGUGCCAGCAGCAACAAACCCAGGCUGGCUGAUGGAAGGGCCCAGCCUAGACAGGGAAGCAGAGGGGCUGCAUGGAAAGGCUCAGGGCUGGAGGUGAUGUGAAGUGGAAUAAGCUUCAGUGGGAGCCAGGAGGUUGUAUUUCCCGUUGGGGGCGGUGGUGGAGGGAUGGGGGUGCCCAGAGAGGAACUAUGGAUUAGGCCCAGGCCGGCCACUCAGAGUGCUUGGCAUCCAGGAUGUGUUAAGAUGGCAUUGAGGCCGAGCGCGGUGGCUUAGGCCUGUAAUCCCAGUACUUUGGGAGGCCAAGGCAGGCGGAUCACCUUUGGUCAGGAGUUUGAGACAAGCCUGGCCAACAUGGUGAAACCUCGUUUCUACUAAAAAUACCAAAAACAAUUAGCUGAGCAUGGUGGCGCGCGUCUGUAAUCCCAGCUUCUGGGGAGGCCGAGGCAGGAGAAUUGCUUCAACCCGGGAGGCGGAGGUUGCAGUGAGCCGAGAUCGCGCCACUGCACUCCAGCCUGGGCGACAGAGUGAGACACCAUCUCAAAAAAAAAAUAGCAUUGAGAUCAAUAAGGAAGUCUAGAAACCAGGAAGCUUUUUGCAAAGAGAAAACGCCUUUUGUUAUUCUCACCGAUGGAUAUUAAGCUUUCCCUCACAGACAGGACUACAAGCUUCAGAGUGGAUCUGAGAUGAAUGCGAAUUGCUGUGUACCUUUGUAAGGGACAGAAGACCGGAUUUUCAAAUUUAAAACAACCAUUCUGUUUCUGGAAUCAGAAAUCAGUUUCGAGAUUUACAACUGUAUUUUUUAAAAAAUCUGUCUUCUUAGUGGACUCGGGGGGGACUUCACGUGGCACCCAGUACACGCCACGCCAAGCCACCGAAGCCAGAGGUGUGUGUCUGGGGCCAGAGACGUGCAUUCCCUCAGCAAGGCCGGCCUCAGACGCAAACGCCAGCACCGCCACCCUGUCGCCCGCUGAGAGGAUCUGGCCGCCGGGGGGAGGGGGCGGGGGGGGGGGCAGCGGGGGAACAACAAAAAAAUCCCAGCAUAAUGAUUAUUCCCAGGGACCGUUGGGUUUUUUUUUCCCCAAGGCGGCCGAAA